AACGAACGCUGGCGGCAGGCUUAACACAUGCAAGUCGAACGCAUCGCAAGAUGAGUGGCAGACGGGUGAGUAACGCGUGGGAACAUACCCUUUUCUACGGAAUAGCUCUGGGAAACUGGAAUUAAUACCGUAUACGCCCUACGGGGGAAAGAUUUAUCGGGGAAGGAUUGGCCCGCGUUGGAUUAGCUAGUUGGUGGGGUAAAGGCCUACCAAGGCGACGAUCCAUAGCUGGUCUGAGAGGAUGAUCAGCCACAUUGGGACUGAGACACGGCCAAACUCCUACGGGAGGCAGCAGUGGGGAAUAUUGGACAAUGGGCGCAAGCCUGAUCCAGCCAUGCCGCGUGAGUGAUGAAGGCCCUAGGGUUGUAAAGCUCUUUCACCGAUGAGGAUAAUGACGGUAGUCGGAGAAGAAGCCCCGGCUAACUUCGUGCCAGCAGCCGCGGUAA
rnacentral:rRNA from 1 species